rnacentral:misc_RNA from 1 species
UUAAGUUCAGCGGGUAGUCCUACCUGAUUUGAGAUCAAACGUUCAAAAAGCUGUCCUCGCUGAGGAGAGACAUCUGUGAGCCCCAGCGAACCUCCAUCACUGGAGGUUACCUGGCAGAAAACCACAAGCGUAGAUAGUUAUCACACCUGUGGUGCCACCAAACACUGGUAAGCUGAUUCAUUUGAGAGGAGCUGACAGUA